GUGCUCGAUUCAGCAGCACAUAUACUAAAAUUGAAACAAUACAGAGAAAAUUAGCAUGGUCCCUGUGAAAUUGACAUGCGAAUCUGUGAAGCAUUCCAUAUUUAA
rnacentral:snRNA from 1 species